rnacentral:misc_RNA from 1 species
GAAAUGCGAUAAGUAGUGUGAAUUGCAGAAUUCAGUGAAUCAUCGAAUCUUUGAACGCACAUUGCGCCCCUCGGUAUUCCGUGGGGCAUGCCUGUUCGAGCGUCAUUUCAACCCUCAGAACCCCUUGCGGGAUCUGGCGUUGGGGAUUGGCAUCCAGCCAGCCCCGAAAUCUAGCGGCGGUCCCUCCGCGACCUCCCCUGUGCAGUAGCGAUACCUCGCAGCGGGACAGCGGUCUGACCACGCCGUAAAACCCCCAACUUCUCAAGGUUGACCUCGAAUCAGGUAGGAAUACCCGCUGAACUUAAGC